rnacentral:rRNA from 1 species
AUGUUUGAUAGAUUUAUGCCUGAUUUCGCGGCCAAGCUCUUGCCUUUUAGGUGCAAAUUGGGCGCUAGUGAUGCGCUUUCGCUUUGGAAUUGCUGUGUGGUUAGGCUGCAAGCAUAUAAUCCAUUGCGCGUGGCUUCUCGUUGUGUAAUGGCCACACAGAGUGCUGUUCGGUUAAUUGGAGGGGCAGGGGCUGGUGGCUGGACUAAGGAUUUUGGAGCAUUCGACUCUCCACUGGGAAAUCUUCCAGGAGAAGGGCUGGGGUUUGUGGAGAAUGGGAGUGGGAUUUAUGGGGGCUGGGGGGAAUCUGUCCCAAAUCGAAGUGGAAGCGCACCUCCUAGCAUGGAGGGAUCUCUGGCUGCUCUUGGUAAUCUUAUAGGUCAGCGGAGUGGAAACUUCGACGCCAGUCUAGGUAACUUGGACAAUGUGACUGGCAGUUCCACUGCUGAGGAGCAGUUACGUGCUGAUCCUGCAUACUUUGACUAUUAUGGUUCCAAGGUGAAUUUGAACCCAAGGCUUCCUCCUCCACUAAUCUCAAGGGAGAGUCGCCGCUUCAUGAACCGAGUUGGCAAGGUUAAAGAAUGGAGAGUGGUUUCCCAGGAUGACAGCAAUAAAGGCUCCUUAUUUAUGCCUCGAUCUACUCUAUCAACUCACAAGGAAGAACCUGAAGAUGAUAGGUCUCCAAGGUUGGAUUCAAGUUCUGCAGAUGAUGAACAGAUGAAUCUUGUGGAUUUUGUGCCGGAGAGCUUCCAGCAGAACCCCGAUUCGUUGUAUGAUAACUCUUCACAUCUAUCAAGUAGCAGUAUUGGUGAUGGUGUAGCUGUCCAUUCUAAUAUUGACUCAUCAAUGAAUUUGCCACAUGAUGUUGUCAAGCCGUCAGGGUUGAAUUCGUGGACACCUGUACCUUUGGCCAGUGUACUGAGAAGUACACUUAGCAACAAUCUUUCAUCUACAUCUGUUCCCAGUUCAUCAUGUUCUGAUAAUAACCCUAGUGUACAAAUUUCUGAGGGACAGCAAGAAAAGCAGAGCAUAGACAUGAAGCCUGGAAAUGAUGUGCCUGUCAGUGGGGCAGUUGUUACUGAACUUGAUGUUGUGGACUCUAGCAUGAAGAAUUUGAAGUUAAGUUUGGAUAGCCAGACUACGUCACAAGUUAAGCAGCAGUGGCAGGGCAAUUUCUUGCAGCAGUAUGGCUUCUCACCUCUAGUCCAAGGCGACCAUAUGGCAAUGACUCCUCAUGGAGCACAUCUGCCCCAUGUUCCUUUUGUUGACAACAUGUCUCAUACUCAGCUAAAACUACCCACUGGUGACAUGCAGCAACUUUUACCUCAACUUGGUAUGCCAACACCCUUUUAUACACCGAAUUCUUUUGGAAGCCCAUAUUAUCAGAAUUUGCAUCCAGCCAGUGUAUUGGCAAAUCCUUAUGUGACUUCUGGGUAUGCUUUGGGUGGUUCAAGUUUCCCACCCGUUAUGACUAGUUAUUCUCCCCAGAGUUCUGCUGCGACACCUCUCGACAGUCCUAUGACUCCAAGCUUUAGUGGUAGGCCAUCUGGUUUUCCUUCAGCAGGGAAUCUUACUGUAGGAACCGAGUUUGUUCAGCCAUAUAAAAUGUAUGGGCAACUUGGGGUUCCCAUGCAGCCACCCAUUCCCGACCCGAACUUUUUUCAGUUCUUUCAGCAUCCCUCUUUUCCACAGUAUGCUAGUGGAAAUCAAUACAAUACAUUGGCUCCAAGGGGUAGUGUUUUUGGAAAUGUUGCUGAUAAUUUUGAUCCACGUAAAUUAUUUCCUCAAGCUCAAUAUCCGUCUGAUCAGAGGCUUCAACUUCCAAAAACUGGAAUUUUUAGUUCUCCUACAACCCUAAGAGGAGGAACUGUUCCAAAUUAUCAUGGCAUUCCACCCUAUGUUGGAGCGCCAUUGACUUAUCCAACAAGCCCAGUGUUUCAGGGGCAACCUUUCUCUGGAAUUUCCCCCUUUGGUAGAAAUGAUUCUGCGAGGUUUCAGUCCGCCUCAAGAAGUAUGACUGCUGUUUCUGGGUUUCAAGGGCAGCGAGAAAGGGAGAAAUUUGAUAACCCGAAGGCAUGCACUUUCCUGGAAGAACUGAAGUCCAACAGAGCACGUAGGGUUGAGCUAUCUGAUAUCACAGGUUGCAUAGUAGAUUUCAGCGCUGACCAACAUGGUAGCCGUUUCAUCCAGCAGAAAUUGGAAAACUGCACUGCUGAAGAGAAGGCAGCCGUGUUUGCAGAAGUUCUUCCUCAUGCUUCAUCUUUAAUGACUGAUGUGUUUGGGAAUUAUGUGAUCCAAAAGUUUUUUGAACAUGGAACUCCUGAGCAAAGAAGGGAUCUUGCCGCCAAGCUUGCUGGUCAUGUUGUACCUUUGAGCCUUCAGAUGUAUGGAUGCAGAGUAAUUCAAAAGGCUCUGGAAGUUAUGGAACUUGACCAGAAAAUAGAUCUGGUCCGCGAGCUUGAUGGAAAUAUUAUGCGAUGUGUUCGUGACCAAAAUGGGAAUCAUGUUGUACAGAAGUGCAUAGAGUGUGUCCCCACGGAACAUAUUGGUUUUGUAGUAUCUGCUUUUCGGGGACAAGUUGCUAGCCUUUCAAUGCAUCCAUAUGGUUGCCGUGUUAUUCAGAGAGUUUUGGAGCAUUGUGGUGGUGAUUCACGAGGUCAGUGCAUAAUAGAUGAAAUAUUGCAGUCCGCUUGCAUCCUCGCACAAGACCAGUAUGGCAACUAUGUCACACAGCAUGUUGUGGAAAAAGGAAAAAGUCAUGAAAGGGCUCAAAUUAUCAGUAAAUUGGCUGGGCAGGUUGUCACCAUGAGCCAAAAUAAAUUUGCAUCAAAUGUGAUAGAGAAGUGUUUUCAACAUGGGGAUAUUGCGGAACGAGAUCUUCUGAUCAGAGAGAUUGUGGAGCAGACUGACGGAAAUGAUACCUUGCUGGCAAUGAUGAAGGAUCAGUAUGCUAAUUAUGUUGUUCAGAAGAUACUCGAAACAUGCAACGAUGAGCAGCGGGAACUUCUGGUCAGCCGUGUAAAGGGUCACCUGCAAGCAUUGAGGAAGUACACCUAUGGCAAGCAUAUCGCAAGCCGAGUCGAGCAGCUUUGCGGUGAAGGAGAUGCCGAGUGCGACUCAUAA